CCUGCCCGGCAGAGAGACCCGCGAAC
rnacentral:rRNA from 1 species